rnacentral:rRNA from 1 species
GGGGGGGGCAAGCGUUGUUCGGAAUCACUGGGCUUAAAGGGUGCGUAGGCGGGCCGGUUGGUGCCAUGUGAAAGCCCUCAGCUUAACUGAGGAACGGCAUGGCAUACCGCUGGUCUUGAGGUCGGCAGAGGAACCUGGAACUUUGGGUGGAGCGGUGAAAUGCGUAGAUAUCCAAGGGAACACCGGUGGCGAAAGCGGGGUUCUGGGCCGAUUCUGACGCUGAGGCACGAAAGCGUGGGGAGCAAACAGGAUUAGAUACCCUGGUAGUCCACGCCGUAAACGAUGCGCACUAGGUAUCAGCCCCUCUGACGGGGUUGGUGCCGCAGUAAAAGCGAUAAGUGCGCCGCCUGGGGAGUACGGCCGCAAGGCUA